rnacentral:lncRNA from 1 species
AGUUCUUAUCUUUAUAUAUAAUUCAUACUGAAGAGCAAAGACAGAUGGAACAACAGGAUUAUGUGGGCAUUCUAGGAUGAAGUGCCAAUAGCUGGGACUACAGGUGUGUGCCUCCAUGCCUGGCUAAUUUUUGUAGUUUUUGAUAGAGAUAGGGUUUCACCAUGUUGGCCAGGCUGGUCUCGAACUCCUGUCCUUAAGUGAUCCUCUACUUAUAUAUAUAUUUUAAAUGGAGGUAAUAAUUACUACCUUGUGGCCUCAUGUAACAGAUAUAAAUUUCAUCUCUGUAAAUCUGUAACUAUAUCCCAACAGGGCUUGAAAGAUAUAGACCAGCAUUGUC